rnacentral:lncRNA from 1 species
UACCAAUGACGCCAUUCUUGCUCAAAACAAGCUACUCUCUCAACAAGUGGAGUUGCUUACUCAACAAAUGGCCAAGCUUCCACAGCAAAUGAAGGAAAUUCAAGGGUCUCUAGUUCGACAUCAAGUAGCAUGUUGCGAAUUAUGUCAAGGAGAUCACCCUACUGGUUUUUGUCCUCCACUAGAAGAAGUAAGCUAUGUGAACAAUCAAAAUCAAGGCUAUCAAAGGAACAAUCAAGGUUAUCAACCAUCAAGGUUCAACAAUCAAAAUUUUCAGCAGCAAAG